UCAAAUUUAGUAAAAUUUUCGUGACUUAGUCACAUUGACACAAAUGGAUAACGAUGAUUCGGAAGUAGAGCAGGACGUGGACUCAUUUUUCAAUCGACACAAGCAUUGCUUCGUAAAUCUGGCCGGAUUCUUGGGUAUUAUUAUCGUGAUACAAGUCGUGGCGAAACUCCUCAAUUCCUGUUGACAUUUAUCUCACUUUGUCUUUGUCAAAAUUUUGGUGGACACACUUAAAUGAACAAAAAGUUAUAUUUCGCAAUGUUGGGCUUUGCAUCGGUUUGCGUUAUACUGAACAUGCUUAGCAGAGUUUAAUAACAAAAAUUAUGAGAAAUGGAAAUCGACGCAGGAGGGAGAGAAGAGAAAAUCGUUCAUGUUUGUCACCUUGUUUUCUCUUCGCCGUUUUUGUUGGAUUGUCUAUGAUCAUUCAUUUGAUUGGUUCUGACAGAGUUUCAGUAGGUUUUGGUAUAUCGGUUGGAACAACUUUUUAAAACUGGAACAAUGAGUUUGUGUGAAACAUCAAAUACAUCAAUAAAAGUGUCAAAAUA